AGCGAACGCUGGCGGCAGGCCUAACACAUGCAAGUCAAACGAACUCUUCGGAGUUAGUGGCGGACGGGUGAGUAACACGUGGGAACGUGCCUUUUGGUUCGGAAUAACUCAGGGAAACUUGUGCUAAUACCGAAUGUGCCCUUCGGGGGAAAGAUUUAUCGCCAUUAGAGCGGCCCGCGUCUGAUUAGCUAGUUGGUGAGGUAACGGCUCACCAAGGCGACGAUCAGUAGCUGGUCUGAGAGGAUGACCAGCCACACUGGGACUGAGACACGGCCCAGACUCCUACGGGAGGCAGCAGUGGGGAAUCUUGCGCAAUGGGCGAAAGCCUGACGCAGCCAUGCCGCGUGAAUGAUGAAGGUCUUAGGAUUGUAAAAUUCUUUCACCGGGGACGAUAAUGACGGUACCCGGAGAAGAAGCCCCGGCUAACUUCGUG
rnacentral:rRNA from 1 species